rnacentral:rRNA from 1 species
GGAAACAGGUGCUAAUACCGCAUAAAACCUAACACCGCAUGGUGUAGGGUUGAAAGAUGGUUUCGGCUAUCACUUUAGGAUGGACCCGCGGUGCAUUAGUUAGUUGGUGAGGUAAAGGCUCACCAAGACCGUGAUGCAUAGCCGACCUGAGAGGGUAAUCGGCCACACUGGGACUGAGACACGGCCCAGACUCCUACGGGAGGCAGCAGUAGGGAAUCUUCCACAAUGGACGAAAGUCUGAUGGAGCAACGCCGCGUGAGUGAAGAAGGUUUUCGGAUCGUAAAACUCUGUUGUUGGAGAAGAAUGUAUCUGAUAGUAACUGAUCAGGUAGUGACGGUAUCCAACCAGGAAGCCACGGCUAACUACGUCCAGCAGCCGCGGUAAUACGAU